rnacentral:tRNA from 1 species
UCUCAACAGGUGUAAUGCACGGAAAAAUUUGAGUUUUCAGGAGGAGUCCCGUUGUGAA